CGGUUGUAGCGAAAUCAAACGACUCAGAGAAGUAACAGGCUGGUUUUUGUGAGACCUCUUUUCCAAUUGAUCUCCGUCAACUAAUCUGCUUACUGAACUUUCUCACAUUC